rnacentral:tRNA from 1 species
CCUUUCUAAGGAUGAUCAAGAAUGGGGUUUGUCCCUUUUUGGUCAAAUUAGACAUCAGUUUUAUUCACAUUUAAACUUAUUUUGAGUGCAUUAAACUUAUUGUGAGUGCAAAUGUUUUGAAUAAAACCUUUUAAAUCAGCCUAUAGUCACUAUAGGUUAAGCAGGCUUGCCGCCUUCAUUUCUCUUUCUUCCGAUGAUGAUCCCAAGCCUUCAAGCGUUCUGUUCAUCAAAUUUCAAAAGCGUUUAAAAACAGAUAAAGCGUUUAAAAAACAGGUAAAAAAGCGUUUAAGCAGAUAUAAAGCGUUUAAGAAACAUAUCUGUUUCUUAAACAUAUCUUUUUGUUUUCUUUUGUUUUCUUUUGUUUGUCCCGAGGAAGGUUUUUACCGAUUUACUCCUGAGGGCUUGUAGCUCAGUUGGUUAGAGCGCGCGCUUGAUAAGCGUGAGGUCGGAGGUUCAAGUCCUCCCAGGCCCACCAAUUUAUGAUUGCUGAUAAGUUUUUUGUGAAUGUUUUGAUGGUCUUUUAUCUUACGAUCUUUCGCUUUUAUGUUGCAAUCUUUCAAAAGUAUUUGAACUGUUUUAGGGGCCGUAGCUCAGCUGGGAGAGCACCUGCUUUGCAAGCAGGGGGUCGUCGGUUCGAUCCCGUCCGGCUCCACCAUCUUUGGUUAUCAUCAUUGUUAAAGAACAAUGUUUGCAAUAGAUCUGUAGAUCUUAAGUCUAUCAUCUAUUGCCUGUUCUAUUGAAAUUGUGAAGAGAAGAUAUAUUCAGACAUUACUGUUUUAUUCAGCGAUUGCUGUUUUGUUGUUGCUUUUAAUGUUUAAGUCUCUCCUUUAAGGAAUGGCAAAAAGCUUAAAAACACAACGCUAAUUUAAAAACACAACGCUAACAUUGUUAAACAAUGUUUAAAGCAAUGUAAUGUGUCGCUAGGGUAUGCUCAAAGCCUUAGCUUUAUGAUUGGUGUUUAACCGCGCCAUUGAAUAUAUCUCGAGAAACUGGUCUUUCUGCUGAUAUUUUUGUUUAUUGAAAAUACAAUAAACGUUUAUUAAAAAUACAAUAAACAGUGAAU